rnacentral:rRNA from 1 species
AUUGAACGCUGGCGGCAUGCCUUACACAUGCAAGUCGAACGGCAGCACGGGAGCAAUCCUGGUGGCGAGUGGCGAACGGGUGAGUAAUAUAUCGGAACGUGCCCGGUCGUGGGGAUAACGUAGCGAAAGCUACGCUAAUACCGCAUACGAUCUACGGAUGAAAGCGGGGGAUCGCAAGACCUCGCGCGAUUGGAGCGGCCGAUAUCAGAUUAGGUAGUUGGUGAGGUAAAGGCUCACCAAGCCGACGAUCUGUAGCUGGUCUGAGAGGACGACCAGCCACACUGGGACUGAGACACGGCCCAGACUCCUACGGGAGGCAGCAGUGGGAAUUUGGACAAUGGGCGCAAGCCUGAUCCAGCAAUGCCGCGUGCAGGAUGAAGGCCUUC